rnacentral:rRNA from 1 species
AGCGAACGCUGGCGGCAGGCCUAAUACAUGCAAGUCGAACGGCUCUUCGGAGCAGUGGCGGACGGGUGAGUAACGCGUGGGAAUGUGCCCUUUGGUACGGAACAACACAGGGAAACUUGUGCUAAUACCGUAUGUGCCCUUCGGGGGAAAGAUUUAUCGCCAUUGGAGCAGCCCGCGUUGGAUUAGGUAGUUGGUGAGGUAAAGGCUCACCAAGCCUACGAUCCAUAGCUGGUCUGAGAGGAUGACCAGCCACACUGGGACUGAGACACGGCCCAGACUCCGACGGGAGGCAGCAGUGGGGAAUCUUGGGCAAUGGGAGAAAGCCUGGGGCAGCCAUGCCGCGUGUAUGAUGAAGGUCUUAGGAUUGUAAAAUACUUUCACCGGGGAAGAUAAUGACGGUACCCGGAGAAGAAGCCCCGGCUAACUUCGUGCCAGCCGCCGCGGUAAGAC